CCAUGUUGACCAUGGUAGUCUAUGCACAAUUUGAAACAAAAUAAAAAGAAAAAUCUACGUAGCUUCUUAAUCGCGUUUCUCUCGAAGCGUGACUCCCCACUUAACGCGACGUCGUCAUCACGAGGACCGUCACCGACCGAUUACGUUGCACGAUGACAGCGUGAACGUAACGAUCAUGUAUUCGGUACGCGGCAGCACUCGAGUUCCCACAAGAAAAACGGAGCUUUUGCAACGCGAGCGAAAUCGGCCGGUUAGUCGAUUGGCUGGCUGUGUUGGCUGGUCGUUCAGCAGCUGCAGAAAAGCGUAUCGUGUUCUCCACGAGGUGUCUUGCUUUGCCGGGAUUUUAUCGCGUGGCCCCCUUCGUGGCGUUAUACCCUGUGCUCGCUCUGUUCGCUCUGGUGCACGCGCACGAGCCGCCGCUGCCCUCUCUGUCUUACUGUGAUCUAGGCUAACCGCGUUCGUCGUUCCUCGUAAGUAGGAGCAUAACCCCAUCGCUGUAACGUACCACGGUACCAUCGUCAUCUCGAGUAUCGCUACUGCCGUGCCACCAAUACGCUGCAGCGUGACAAGCACUUCCAACCACACACUCCUUCCUUCGUUAUCGAGUAACGAAGGUUCGUCGAGCAAACUACAUGAGCUCGUUGCAACAUCCAUAACAAGCAGAGCAGGAUACGAGAGAGCUUCUGAGAGAUUCAGUAAUCAGUCGCAACAUUGUUGCCCGGUUUCGGGCAGAAAACCAGCGAGAAAGUACAGAAGAAGGAAUCGAGGCCACUUGUCGGUCGUCGAGCGUGGAAAUUCGAACGAGGGUAAUGGAAAAUCGUGAUAAUGAGCACGGCGAAGGAGGACAGAAGCGGAGAGGAAUGCGAGGAGUAAGACAUUAGAAAGAUAAGAUAGAAGAGCGAGAUGAAGAAAAUGGAAAGAGAGAGAGAGAGAGAGAAAGAGAAAAUGAUAGAUCUUCUCAAGCGAUGCGACCCUGUUUCUAAACGACGCACUCUGUAUUUGCAUAACUCACAAAUACCAUCGAGGCUUCUUCAAGAUCGCUCGUAAAUCAUCAACGCCAUGGGGAUGCUCCGUUUUCAUUAUCGAAAUCCUGGAAAAUUAAAGAAGUUGGGCCGUAUCGUUUCGCUCGCAUUGAUAAGACAACGCGGUCCGUUUAGUGGGACGCGGUAAACACGUAAUCGAGAAUUAAUGUUUCUUCUUGGCUGACUCUGUAAUACUUUUCUUUUUCAUUGUAUGAAUUUUCUCUUUAGUGGGUAAUAAAUGAAUUUGAAAUUAUACUAUUAUGACGUAAUAAGAUAAUUAUCGAUCAAAUUGCCCAGAUUAUAAUAAUUAGACUGCGGAUUAUAAAAUGCACACAAUAUGCAAAAUGGUUUGAAAUACCCAAGAUACAGGUUCUUGCGUACAUCCUUUUCGAGGUCUAAAGUAUUUGCAAAAUAUGAAUAUCCAUAAAUGUCCGCGAUGUAAUAAUAAUCAAAUAAUAUGAAGUUUAGCAGCGGAAUUGUCAUAAUAGCGAUAUCAGUAAUUAAGCGUUAAUCAAAGUAUUCGUUGUCUAAAUCGAACCAUAAUCAGUUUAAAAUUCUUUCGAACCUGGGAUCAAAUUUUUCGUCCCAUAUCUAGAACUAAUCAACUAUGCAAAGAACAUCAUAGUUUCCAUGUCCGGAUUCAUCUACAGCCGAGCAAAUACCAAUCGACUGUUACACGCCCAAUUCUACUUUUCUCAGCAGAAUCUAUACCGAAUGCCAGAA